UUAAUUAGUAAUUACAAAUUAGCAACCAAAUAUAUAUAGAUUAAUAAACAUAUUGAAUUAUUUGAUAAUUAAGAUAUUAAUUAUUUAAUUCAAAUGAGGUUACUAGAAAAUAAAAUACCUAAUUUAAAUCACUGCUUUAAUGCCAUGUUUAUAAUGGAGAUUACUGAAUAUAGAAUUAAUAUCGAAGUAUAUAUCCUUUAGUUUGUUCUAGUCAUAAUGGUUGAUGCCAAGCUGGAGCAUCAUCAAAUAAAGUAUAUUUGAUAUUAAUAAAGUCUCACUAAGAGAUGUUAAAUAUUUAAUCAGUUUAUUAAAGGAGUUGAAUUUUAUAUUUUAGUUCAAUAGUUUCAUUUCUUGUUUGACUGACAUUUAUAUUCAAUGAAAUCAUAACCACUGAAAGAAUAUCUUAAAACAUUUCCAUGCAAGAAUAUGCAGUUUUUCAAUUGCAAAAACACUAAGAUUUAAGCUAUAUAUGUGACCUUGGUAAAGAUGGCUGAACAAGCUGCUUGGGAUAUUCUAACGCUUGGUUGUCAAGGAUCACAGAAACCAUUCUGUUUAUUUUCAAUGUGAUUUUUUUUUUUCUACCAACACAUAUCUCAUGAUUCUUAAAGUACUGGUGCCACAAUGAAAUCCAUCCAAGGCACUCUGUGAAGUGGUUGGCAAAUGAGUAGGGCCAAAAGAACGUUUCAGUCUUGUGGUGAAUAUGACAAUUUCUUUCAUGCUGGUGCCACAAUAAAAUGCACCUGGUGAACUCUGUAAAGUGAUUGGUGAUCGGAAAAGUAUCAGUCAUAGAAACCAAACCAAACCAAACCAAACCAAAAGUGAAAAAUAUGAGCAAGAUGUAGUCCUCUGCCUCAUCUAAAACAGCAGUAACUCUAAAGAAGAGCUGGUUUGGACUAUGGCAACUUGUUCAGCCCAUGGAAAACAGAUGGAAAAUGAUGAUGAUGAUGAUUCACAUGUACUCACAUGCAUGCACACACACACACACACGCACACAGAGGUUUGAAUGUAAAGAUGGGAGGAAGAAUAUUCAAUAUCUUCAGUAGAAUUUAUUAAUUUGUUUGAAGCUGAUGAUAGAUUUGCUGUUACUCAGAAUUUCUCACUACACACAAUUCCUUAAAGAAUUCCUUAAAGAAGGGAAAGAAGUGUUUCUUGCAUAAAACCAGAAACCAAUACAAGUGUAUUUAAACUCGCCUGUAGAAAAUCUAUAGAAAAUAUUUAUUAUUAAAUAUAAGGAUUACCAUUUUAUGAAAAAUCUCGAGUAUAAAGGGUCUACUAUGAUUGAAUAUACUUGAAUUUAUUUACACUCAUCAGUUGAUGCUGACAAUUUUUAUCUUUAAUUAUUUUGAAGUUUUUAAAUUCUAAAAAUAUUUAAAAUGAUACCUAUAUCUCUUAAGCAAAAUUAUUGAAGUGUCAGUCAAAAUACCUGGUAAAUUUUAGUUAUGGCCUUUUAUGAUAAAAACACCCAUGCCAAUGUUGCGUAGAAACACCCAGUACACUUUAUGAAGUGGCUGGCAUUAAGAAAGGCAUUCCAGCCAUAGAAACCAUGCCAAAAUAGACAUGGAGCCCGGUAAGUUCUUCGGUUGAGCAGCUCCUGUGAAACUGUCCAACCCAUGCCAGCACAUGAUGUUGAUGAUGAUGAUGAUGAUGAUGAUGAUGAUGACGAUGAUGACGAUGAUGACGACGAUGAUGAUGAUGAUGAUGAUGAUGAUCAUCAUCAUCAUCAUCAUCAUCAUCGUCAUCAUCAUGAACACUAGAGGUUAUGUUGGAAGAAGGGGAUGAUCAAUGAACAACAUCUAGACAGAGCUAAUAGCAAGAAAUAGCAGCCAAAUUUCCCACAUUUUUCAAAUUUCCCUAAAAAAACAUGUAAAUAAAUAUAGUACUACAUAUUCCUCCAGAGACAUGAGAGAUCACAGCUGAAAUGCUUUGAUCACAGAUCAGCUUGAUCAGUGUUCACCUCAGGCUAAAUAAUAACACCUAGAAAAUUGUUACAUUCAAGGAACGACAAUAAGUACAUUGUUUAUUUUUGUGAAGUAGUUAUAAUAGGAUAUGUAAGCAUAGAUAAACUGAUUGACCACUCAGUGGCAGCUUACUCUCGGGUAAGCAUUCAGACAAGGUGUCGAGGUUCAAGAUAAUCCCUUCUUUCUAUGUCACCAAUAUUAAAGAUCCUGAAAAAAGGGCAAGGUCACCGACCUUUCUCCUCUGACUAAUCCAUAAAGAAAUUUAAAAAAUAAAAGACACACAAAACAAUAGGAAUAUUGUUCACUAAAAACAAGUGCCACAUGGAAUUUUAUUACCGUUCCAACACUUCCUCCACUCUACUCUCAUAUUCAACAUUACUUUUGAAAUAAAAUUGACUUUUUUGGUUUU